rnacentral:rRNA from 1 species
CGAAUGCUGACGUGAGUAACGACAAAACGGGUGAAAAACCCGUUCGCCGAAAGACCAAGGGUUCCAGUCCAACGUUAAUCGGGGCUGGGUGAGUCGACCCCUAAGGCGAGGCCGAAAGGCGUAGUCGAUGGGAAAAUGGUUAAUAUUCCAUUACUUCUGUGUAAUGCGAUGAGAGGACGGAGAAGGCUAAAUCAGCCUGGCGUUGGUUGUCCAGGUGAAAGGAUGUAGGCAUGUAUCUUAGGCAAAUCCGGGGUACUCUAUGCUGAGAUCUGAUAGCAAGCUGUACUUGUACAGCGAAGUGGUUGAUGCCAUGCUUCCAGGAAAAGUCUCUAAGCUUCAGUUACACAGGAAUCGUACCCGAAACCGACACAGGUGGUCAGGUCGAGUAGACCAAGGCGCUUGAGAGAACUCUGCUGAAGGAACUAGGCAAAAUGGUACCGUAACUUCGGGAGAAGGUACGCUGUUGUUGGUGAUGGAACUCGCUUCCUGAGCUGACGACAGCCGCAGAAACCAGGCCGCUGCAACUGUUUAUUAAAAACAUAGCACUCUGCAAACACGAAAGUGGACGUAUAGGGUGUGAUGCCUGCCCGGUGCUGGAAGGUUAAUUGAUGGGGUUAGCGUAAGCGAAGCUCUUGAUCGAAGCCCCAGUAAACGGCGGCCGUAACUAUAACGGUCCUAAGGUAGCGAAAUUCCUUGUCGGGUAAGUUCCGACCUGCACGAAUGGCAUAAUGAUGGCGGCGCUGUCUCCAGCAGAGGCUCAGUGAAAUCGAAAUCGCUGUGAAGAUGCAGUGUACCCGCGGCUAGACGGAAAGACCCCGUGAACCUUUACUGCAGCUUGACACUGAACUUUGACCUUACUUGUGUAGGAUAGGUGGGAGGCUUUGAAGCUGGAACGCUAGUUCCAGUGGAGCCGUCCUUGAAAUACCACCCUGGUAAUGUUGAGGUUCUAACUCUGUCCCGUGAUCCGGGACGAGGACCGUGUCUGGUGGGUAGUUUGACUGGGGCGGUCUCCUCCUAAAGAGUAACGGAGGAGUACGAAGGUGCGCUCAGCGUGGUCGGAAAUCACGCGUAGAGUAUAAAGGCAAAAGCGCGCUUAACUGCGAGACCCACAAGUCGAGCAGGUACGAAAGUAGGUCUUAGUGAUCCGGUGGUUCUGUAUGGAAGGGCCAUCGCUCAACGGAUAAAAGGUACUCUGGGGAUAACAGGCUGAUACCGCCCAAGAGUUCAUAUCGACGGCGGUGUUUGGCACCUCGAUGUCGGCUCAUCUCAUCCUGGGGCUGAAGCAGGUCCCAAGGGUAUGGCUGUUCGCCAUUUAAAGAGGUACGCGAGCUGGGUUUAGAACGUCGUGAGACAGUUC